AUGACACUGUAUCUGAAAACUUUCAACUUGGAGCAGUUGUACAACAAGAAGAAGCCGAAGAAGUUUGCAUUCUCAGUGUUUAUGGGGAGUCAAUUGGCUAUGGAUCCUGACUUGUUUGAUCACAAGAAUUGUGAAAGAGAGUUCAGAAGGGCAUGUGAAAAUAACCAUAUUUCAAAAAGCGAUCUACUCUUCAUGAGUGUCGUUCAGAAUAAGCAUUGGGCGGUGGUUGUUGUGAACUUGUUGCACAAGCAAUUCAACGUUUUCGACUCGGUCAAGAACGCCACAGAUGUUAAUUUGCUCAAUAAGGCAACCACCAAUGUGAUUUCCAACAUAAAGAAAGUUGCAAGCAAAGAAUCUUCAUUUCAUUUUGAUCUUGAUUCUUUUGAGAGGGUCACCCUUGAUCACCCGAAGCAAUUAACACAUUAUAAUUGUGGCUUCUAUGCAAUUCUUUUCUUGGAAAACUUCGAUGGUGUUGUCAUGAAGCAUUUUGAUGAGAGUUGCAUCCCAAACCUCCGGAAACUUAUUGUAGCAGAUCUUAUCAAGCAUCCCCAGCAAUACCUUGGACCCUGCAGACCAGCUGAAGAAGUUGCUGGAACUUUGAUUGAAGAUCAAAGAUCAUUUUUCAUCAUCAACAUCUAG
rnacentral:rRNA from 1 species